rnacentral:rRNA from 1 species
GACGGAGGAUGCAAGCGUUAUCCGGAAUGAUUGGGCGUAAAGCGUCAGCAGGUGGCAAUUCAAGUCUGCUGUUAAAGCGCAGGGCUUAACUCUGUAAAGGCAGUGGAAACUGAAUAGCUAGAGUGUGGUAGGGGCAGAGGGAAUUCCCAGUGUAGCGGUGAAAUGCGUAGAGAUUGGGAAGAACAUCGGUGGCGAAGGCGCUCUGCUGGACCAUAACUGACACUCACAGGACGAAAGCUAGGGGAGCGAAUGGG